CUGGUUGAUCCUGCCAGUUGUCAUAUGCUUGUUUCAAGGACUAAGCCAUGCAAAUGUAAGAGUACUCGUGUCUUGAUACGAGGGGUCUGUGUACSGCUCAUUAAACGGUUUAUAGUCUCCCCAACAAAGAGGGCAGUCAUGCCUUCCUAUGGGAUAUCUUUGCGAAAGGCAAAGCUAAUACCUGUAAGAAUAAUCGCUUGCUAUCAAACACCAAGGGGCAACCCGAAAGUGUGGCGGGCGAUGUGAUUGGCCGAAACAAAAAUAGACGCUCGAACAGAGCAGCUGUAAUUGUUGACGCAGGCCAAAGUCGCGAAAGCACAAUUUUGUGCGACGUUGGACGAAUUUACCACCUAUCAGGUAUUGAAGGUAGUGUAGUGGACUACCUUGCCUCUGACGGGUAACGGGGGAUUGGGGUUCGAUUCCGGAGAGGGUGCCUGAGAGACGGCAACCAUGACCAUGGUCAGCAGCAGGCGCGCAAAUUGCCCAAUGCCAACAAAUGGCGAGGCAGCGACGAAAAAUAGCAGUCCCCUAGGGGAUUUGCAAUGGACUGUACCCAAACAAACUGAUGAUUAUCUAUUGGAGGGCAAGUCUGGU
rnacentral:rRNA from 1 species